rnacentral:rRNA from 1 species
ACGAACGCUGGCGGCGUGCUUAACACCUGCAAGUCGCACGGAAAGGCCCUGCUUUUGUGGGGUGCUCGAGUGGCGAACGGGUGAGUAACACGUGAGUAACCUGCCCUUGACUUUGGGAUAACUUCAGGAAACUGGGGCUAAUACCGGAUAGGAGCUCCUGCUGCAUGGUGGGGGUUGGAAAGUUUCGGCGGUUGGGGAUGGACUCGCGGCUUAUCAGCUUGUUGGGGGGGUAGUGGCUUACCAAGGCUUUGACGGGUAGCCGGCCUGAGAGGGUGACCGGACAUAGGGGGAGAGAGACGCAGCAGAGACUUCUGGGGGAGACAGGUGGGGGAAAUAUCACACAGUGGGCGGGAGCGUUACGCAGCAACGCCGCGGGGGGGAUGACGGCCCGGGGUGUGUAACCCGCUCUCGCCUGACGAAGCGUGAGUGACGGUAAUGGGUAAAGAAGCACCGGCUAACUACGU